rnacentral:lncRNA from 1 species
CUUGGUGCUGCAGCAAGGCGAAGUAAGCGAGAAAAUAAUUCAUCAACUGUGGGGACAGUCGGACUAGCCAAAAUUUGAUCGCGUACUGAGUCAAGAUCAUUAGGAAGCCCAGCAAGAGUAAGAACUAGAAACAGCUUUUGUUGCUCUUGCUGCUUUGCAACGCUAGCAGAAAUAUUGUCAAGUACUUCAUUAAGCUUCAGACGAAAGUGAUUGAGCCAUUAGAUAUGGUUUAUUGUGCAAGGAAAAAUUUAUGAGACGUCGUGUCUGGCAAUGAAUCAGUGGUAAAGCUAAACUGCUGAAGUUUCCUUGAGGUUUCUUUGGUUUCUCACUAAUUUCUUAUGCGUUGCAAGGU